rnacentral:rRNA from 1 species
GAUGAACGCUGGCGGCGUGCCUAAUACAUGCAAGUCGAGCGAACAGAUGAGGAGCUUGCUCCUCUGACGUUAGCGGCGGACGGGUGAGUAACACGUGGAUAACCUACCUAUAAGACUGGGAUAACUUCGGGAAACCGGAGCUAAUACCGGAUAAUAUAUUGAACCGCAUGGUUCAAUAGUGAAAGACGGUUUUGCUGUCACUUAUAGAUGGAUCCGCGCCGCAUUAGCUAGUUGGUAAGGUAACGGCUUACCAAGGCAACGAUGCGUAGCCGACCUGAGAGGGGGAUCGGCCACACUGGAACGGAGACACGGUCCAGACUCCUACGGGAGGCAGCAGUAGGGAAUCUUCCGCAAUGGGCGAAAGCCUGACGGAGCAACGCCGCGUGAGUGAUGAAGGUCUUCGGAUCGUAAAACUCUGUUAUUAGGGAAGAACAAAUGUGUAAGUAACGAUGCACGUCUUGACGGUACCUAAUCAGAAAGCCACGGCUAACUACGU